GAUGAACGCUGGCGGCGUGCCUAAUACAUGCAAGUCGAGCGAACAGACGAGGAGCUUGCUCCUCUGACGUUAGCGGCGGACGGGUGAGUAACACGUGGAUAACCUACCUAUAAGACUGGGAUAACUUCGGGAAACCGGAGCUAAUACCGGAUAACAUGUUGAACCGCAUGGUUCAACAGUGAAAGACGGUCUUGCUGUCACUUAUAGAUGGAUCCGCGCCGCAUUAGCUAGUUGGUAAGGUAACGGCUUACCAAGGCAACGAUGCGUAGCCGACCUGAGAGGGUGAUCGGCCACACUGGAACUGAGACACGGUCCAGACUCCUACGGGAGGCAGCAGUAGGGAAUCUUCCGCAAUGGGCGAAAUCCUGACGGAGCAACGCCGCGUGAGUGAAGAAGGUCUUCGGAUCGUAAAACUCUGUUAUUAGGGAAGAACAAAUGUGUAAGUAACUAUGUACGUCUUGACGGUACCUAAUCAGAAAGCCACGGCUAACUACGUG
rnacentral:rRNA from 1 species